rnacentral:rRNA from 1 species
AUUGAACGCUGGCGGCAGGCCUAACACAUGCAAGUCGAGCGAGCGGCGGACGGGUGAGUAAUGUAUGUGGACUCCCCGAUAGAGGGGGAUAACUACUGGAAACGCUAGCUAUUAUCGCAAACUAUCGGAUAACCCAUAUGGGAUUUGCUAGUAGGGGGGGUAAUGGCUCACCUAGGCGACGAUCCCUAGCUGGUCUGAGAGGAUGACCAGCCACACUUGUACUGAGACACGGCCCAGACUCCUACGGAGGCAGCAGUGGGGAAUAUUGGGCAAGGGGCGGAAGCCUGAUGCAGCCAUGCCGCGUGUAUGAAGAGGGCCCUAGGGGUGUAAAGUACUUUAAGUCGGGAGGCGUUACCGACAGAAGAAGCACCGGCUAACUCCGUGCCAGCAGCCGCGGUAAUAC